UCAGACAAAGAUAACCCAGGUAAAUAUCAAAGCCACCAACCUGGAUUGUGAAAAAAUAACCGCAAUUUACAUUGCUGUAAAAAGAUAUUGGCCCUUGCUUCUUAGCAGAAAUCUUUUAUUUAAUUGGAGAGUUUCAGAGCAUGAAUUGCCUGUUUAAGAUUGCAACCCAAUCAGAUUUAACUCUGGACUUUGAGUAGGCCACUUCCAACCCACCACCUUUUUUAUUGGGUCAUUCAGAGGUGGACUUGCUGUAGGAGUGCGUUGCUGUAGACCAUUGUCUUGCUACAUUGGGAUUAAGUUUAAAGUCACAAAAUAAUGGCCGCACAUUCUUCUUAAAGUGGAACUAAACUCCAUGUUAACGAAUAACUGCCCCUUGACAAAUUUUGAAAAAUGCCACCAAAGUGGGCAGUUCCAAGUGUGGGGAUGAGUGGAGAGGAUUAAGAGGGUUGUGGUCAGGAGGACAAAGGAAAGUGGCAGCACCCCUCUCAUCAUCAGAGGUUAGGAGAGGCUUUACUGAGCCCAGCGGGCCUGAGCCCUUUAAGUUCGAGCCGCUGACUCAGCGAUGUCCGAAGCCAGCGCUGCCGCAGCAGUAGAGGAGCUGUUCCAACUCCUGGCUCGCCUCUGGGGCGUGUCUGUGUGAGAUGGUUUUACCCAGCGCCAUAGAAAGAGAGAGUUACGACGCUCCCAUUGACUUCUCUAGAAAGAAUGGAAUGUGGAAGUCACGUGGUUCAUGGAGCUGCUAAUAGUUCCAAACACCAGCAGCUCCAGCAUUGAACAUAGUUCAUUCUCGGUGUUUCGGAAGGAUUUUUUACGGUAAACCACAUGAGAAUGGCUUAAGUGAACUGCUGAACCUUGUUGCAUACGAAGCACCACAAAGGGAAGUCAGCAGAUGUGGUGACUGACUUCAAAGGGAGCUGCUGCCAAGGAGGAUGAACCCUCAUUCGGACUUGGGCACAUUUCUACCUUGUCUAGAUUUGAUCAGAUACAGUUUAUUGGUGCAGAUGUAAUUAAUAAACUGUAUAAAUGGUAGUGCAAGUACUUCUUUAUUAAAGCUAGUUUUGCAUUUUACAUAUCUUA